rnacentral:rRNA from 1 species
AGGGCGCAAGCGUUGUCCGGAAUUAUUGGGCGUAAAGGGAGCGUAGACGGUAGUGCAAGUCUGGAGUGAAAGGCGGGGGCCCAACCCCCGGACUGCUCUGGAAACUGUAUAACUGGAGUGCAGGAGAGGUAAGCGGAAUUCCUAGUGUAGCGGUGAAAUGCGUAGAUAUUAGGAGGAACACCAGUGGCGAAGGCGGCUUACUGGACUGUAACUGACGUUGAGGCUCGAAAGCGUGGGGAGCA